GCUCUGGAACUCGAGGGAGAGGUGAGUGGUUACCUGCUGGCUACCCCUCUUCUGAUGCAACCAAGGAUACCAUUGGCCUUCUGGGCUACAAGCCAAAGGCCAUGGCUUGUAUCAGAAACAGCAUUGCCAGCAGGAGCAGGGAGGUGACUGUUGUCCUGUACAGAGGCUCAGAGGAGAUCUUACAGCUUUCUACAACUCCUGAAAGGAAAUUGUGGCAGCAGAUCCAACAGAAGAGAUGUCUGUGCUCCUACAAGUUGUGUGGCUGUCUGUGGACCCAGCGCCAAUCUGUGCACUUUUCCCUGGCUGUCAGAGGGCAUGAAAGAGAGAAAUACUUGGAAAUGAAGACUACUUGGCAACAUGCUUUUAGAAGAGCAGAACAAGCAGCUGCAAAUUCAACAGAUGUAUUGUGUAUGGGACCAAGAGAUCAAUGAGAUGCAGAAGGGAAAGAGUCCUUCACAUCAGUUUUGCUAAACUUGGUUUCUCAUUCUUUAAACCCUUUGAUCUUAUUUUUUACACCUUUACUUUCUUCUCUGAUCAUAAGCCAUAGGCAGAUAUGCAUAGAUUCACCGCAGAAUCCCAGUGGCUGUCACCCACAUCAGGAGUAUACUCACUCCUCACCCUUUCCCUAAGGAUUUAUAGAGUGGAGGGACACCAAAUUGACAGCAGAUCUGUUGACAUCUUGGUGGUGAGAAAAGGGGGCAAGUGAUGGAUGAAUGAGUUAGUCUGAAACAAGUUUAUUUUUUUUUAAAAAAAACCUUUUCUUAUGGUGGAGAGAGAUUUCUGGUCAAGAAUGGAGCAGUUAAUGAAACAGAUAGCUGUUUGCAAUUGUAGCCUUAUAUGGCAGUCCGCAGUAGUUCACUACCUGGGAUGAGGCUAGUGAUGCUGUUUGCAGAGUGAAGCCUCUAGCACUGGGGUUCAAGCAGCAGUGAAACCUGUAAAGUAAGGUCACAAAUUUAAUUGAGGUUUUCAUAUGGGAAAAUCUUUUAAUACUAUCCUGCAUUUGAUGCAAGCCCUCGCUGCUGCUAACGAGUUCCUGGAGAAAGGGUAACAUUUGGCACUGAGUCUUCGGACUUAAUUCUCACACCUCUUGGGGGAUGGCAUCUAAAGAAAUAGAUGUUAGUUCUGAAAAUAACUUAGUUUAAUCACCUCUUGCCUAACUCUUUAGCUCUAUUCAGGCUGCAAGGUUUGCAAAGCUGUGAUGCAAUCCACAUUGCUGAAGCGACAGUAAGAAUCUGGUGGAGACUUAACCCUGCAAAUAGCUGCACAAGAAGAACCUGGGGAUUUAGCUUACAAUUCCUGUGCAAUAUAUUCCUCAGUGGCUUCUAGACACUAAAAAGAAAAGUCCCCAAACCCUAGAGAAAGGCUUUGAAAAUGGCCAUGGCCAAAACGAUGCAGUUAUCUUUCAAGAUAUUUCUUGCUAUUUGCAUGAAAUAAAAGCACAAAAUGAAAUACUGAAACCUGGAAACAAAUUCUACAUCUCAAAAUUAAUAAAAUUAAACAUAUAAUGUCAGGGCCAUGCCACAAAAAGCAGCAGCCGUAUUGAAUUAAGUGGUCUAAAUGUUGUUUCCUGUUCUGUUUAAAUGCCAGUGCCAAACUUUCAUUGAUCUCAUUGACAUCAAAGCGAGCAGGCCUAGUUCCCCAGGAAGCAGCUAAGGAUAAGCUCACCUUUGAGAAAAAGCCUGAAAAGCCAGUGAUCUAAUUUGGAGAUAAAUACUGCUUCCUCAAGGUGCCUUGAUACAAUAUGAAAUACCGAGAUAUGUUCCAUGUGCCACACACUCACCUCCUACAUGCAGAUGAGCUGUACCCAUUGCUCUACAGAAAGAUGAAGAUCUUCCAGAUGCCUUGGCAUUGUCACUGCAGCUCCUGGGCUGAGAUGUAAGGACUCAGAGAGGAGCUUCAAGACCCUGAGUGACCACUGAGUCCCAGGUUCAGAUCAGUACGAGACAAUACCACGGACAUGUGUACCCAACCAAGGGUAUCUAGUUCUCAGAGAGAAAGCAAACAGCUGGUGCAUGUGGGAUACUCAUUUGCCCACACUUCUUGAUCCUGUUUUUAGGAGAAUAGGAGAAGCUGUAGUUGGGGUGGUUGCUGUACCCCCCCCUGGGGCUGUGCAGCCCUGCUGGGAGCUGAGCGCCUAAAAAGUCUGCUCCCAGGUGUGGGGCAGCUAAAGGAAGAGAUCAGAAAAGAGCCAUCCAUGCUUUUCUUCUCCACUGUUCAGAAGGUGGAACAGCAGCCGAGACAAUGUU